UACGAAGGGGGCUAGCGUUGUUCGGAUUUACUGGGCGUAAAGCGCACGUAGGCGGACUAUUAAGUCAGGGGUGAAAUCCCGGGGCUCAACCCCGGAACUGCCUUUGAUACUGGUAGUCUUGAGUUCGAGAGAGGUGAGUGGAAUUCCGAGUGUGGAGGUGAAAUUCGUAGAUAUUCGGAGGAACACCAGUGGCGAAGGCGGCUCACUGGCUCGAUACUGACACUGAGGAGCGAAAGCCAGGGGAGCAAACGGG
rnacentral:rRNA from 1 species